rnacentral:rRNA from 1 species
UGAGUAACCUGCCCUUCACUCUGGGAUAACUCCGGGAAACCGGGCUAAUACUGGAUAUGACUCGAACAGGCAUCUGUUUCGGGUGGAAAGAUUUUAUUGGUGGAGGAUGGACUCGCGGCCUAUCAGCUUGUUGGUGAGGUAAUGGCUCACCAAGGCGACGACGGGUAGCCGGCCUGAGGA